UGUGUCUAUAACAAACAAAAAACCCAAAGAAAAUAAAAGCACGGAAAGGGCAGAGUGGUAAUUCCUUACAACUGCAAUUAGGAUGAAGUCCAUGUCAUCUCUAGUUGCUGGAGAGAGACUGCUUGCUGUUCUCAGACUUUGGUAGCAGCUCCACUGACUGGCUCCAAUCUGAAGAGGAACUGGUUUUUGUGUGAAGUGGCCCCUUGGCUCCAGCGUUCUUUUUGUGGCAAGAUCAACAAGAUUUCAUAACCACCUUGUGUCAGGAACCUACUGACAGACACAAUGACUGAGUUCUUGAUUUGCUUUAACUGGUGCAUUGGAGAGCAACCCCAGCCAAAGAGACGUCGGAGACUAGACCGAAAUAUGAUAGGAGAACCUAUGAACUUUGUCCACACUGCCCAUGUUGGAACAAGAGAUAUGAAUG